rnacentral:rRNA from 1 species
UCUUGUAACGGUAGCAACGCCGCGUUGAGUGAUGAAUGGUUCUUCGGAUCGUAAAGCUCUGUUGUUAGGGAAGAACAAGUGCCGUUCAAAUAGGGCGGCACCUUGACGGUACCUAACCAGAAAGCCACGGCUAACUACGUGCCAGCAGCCGCGGUAAUACGUAGGUGGCAAGCGUUGUCCGGAAUUAUUGGGCGUAAAGGGCUCGCAGGCGGUUUCUUAAGUCUGAUGUGAAAGCCCCCGGCUCAACCGGGGAGGGUCAUUGGAAACUGGGGAACUUGAGUGCAGAAGAGGAGAGUGGAAUUCCACGUGUAGCGGUGAAAUGCGUAGAGAUGUGGAGGAACACCAGUGGCGAAGGCGACUCUCUGGUCUGUAACUGACGCUGAGGAACGAAAGCGUGGGGAGCGAAAAGGAUUAGAUACC